UACGUAGGGCGCAAGCGUUGUCCGGAAUUAUUGGGCGUAAAGAGCUCGUAGGUGGUUUGUCGCGUCUGCCGUGAAAGCCCGGGGCUUAACUCCGGGUCUGCGGUGGAUACGGGCAGACUAGAGGCAGGUAGGGGAGAACGGAAUUCCCGGUGUAGCGGUGAAAUGCGUAGAUAUCCGAAGGAACACCGGUGGCGAAAGCGGCGCGCUGGAUCUCUUCUGACGCUGAGGCGCGAAAGCCAGGGGAGCAAACGGG
rnacentral:rRNA from 1 species